AUAUUAUGGGACGGAGGGAGU
rnacentral:miRNA from 1 species